rnacentral:rRNA from 1 species
GACGAACGCUGGCGGCGUGCUUAACACAUGCAAGUCGAACGGAAAGGCCCUGCUUUUGUGGGGUGCUCGAGUGGCGAACGGGUGAGUAACACGUGAGUAGCCUGCCCUUGACUUUGGGAUAACUUCAGGAAACUGGGGCUAAUACCGGAUAGGAGCUCCUGCUGCAUGGUGGGGGUUGGAAAGUUUCGGCGGUUGGGGAUGGACUCGCGGCUUAUCAGCUUGUUGGUGGGGUAGUGGCUUACCAAGGCUUUGACGGGUAGCCGGCCUGAGAGGGUGACCGGCCACAUUGGGACUGAGAUACGGCCCAGACUCCUACGGGAGGCAGCAGUGGGGAAUAUUACACAAUGGGCGGAAGCCUGAUGCAGCAACGCCGCGUGCGGGAUGACGGCCUUCGGGUUGUAAACCGCUUUCGCCUGUGACGAAGCGUGAGUGACGGUAAUGGGUAAAGAAGCACCGGCUAACUACGUG